UGGGGAAUAUUGGACAAUGGGCGCAAGCCUGAUCCAGCCAUGCCGCGUGUGUGAAGAAGGCCUUUUGGUUGUAAAGCACUUUAAGCGAGGAGGAGGCUACUUGGAUUAAUACUCUAGGAUAGUGGACGUUACUCGCAGAAUAAGCACCGGCUAACUCUGUGCCAGCAGCCGCGGUAAUACAGAGGGUGCGAGCGUUAAUCGGAUUUACUGGGCGUAAAGCGUGCGUAGGCGGCUUCUUAAGUCGGAUGUGAAAUCCCUGAGCUUAACUUUGGAAUUGCAUUCGAUACUGGGAAGCUAGAGUAUGGGAGAGGAUGGUAGAAUUCCAGGUGUAGCGGUGAAAUGCGUAGAGAUCUGGAGGAAUACCGAUGGCGAAGGCAGCCAUCUGGCCUAAUACUGACGCUGAGGUACGAAAGCAUGGGGAGCAAACAGG
rnacentral:rRNA from 1 species